AUCUUAAUACGAGAUUCCUUAUCAUCUCAAUACCGUUUCUUGGCUCGAGUUCUUGUUAUGUCCCGUGAUCUGGGUAAGGACCCCGGCUCGAUCCCAUCGAGCGGAAUAGAAUCUCAGGCCGGUUUCUUGGUUCGAUUCUUGGAUCUGGACGCCAGCGCUAGGUUUCUUGUACUGAUUUGUUCGGGCGCGUCGGUGUUGAAUCUUCCCUGGAAUCCAAAUAUUCCGUAGCAAAUAAGGCGCCUUCGGUGCUGGUUUUGGUCGGAUCUUGUUGUGCGUUCUAGUUGGUGCUUGUUCUUUUCCUAGAUCUGAUCAUGUGUCUUAUGUGAUUCACCCUAACAUGCAUGAAAUUGAGGGAGACAGAGAAGUCAUCUAAAGGAUAGCCGGUAUGACACAAGUCAAAAUUGUAAUUCUUGGAUCUACCGAACUGAGCCGGCCAAGUAGAAAUCUUUAGCCCGUGUCAUGUAGUACAAUGGAGACAAAACGGGAAGUUCAUCUCGUUGUAUUCACAAUAACCGAGAGUAUGUUAAUAGAUCAGUUCUUGA